UACGUAGGGUGCAAGCGUUGUCCGGAAUUAUUGGGCGUAAAGAGCUCGUAGGCGGUCUGUCGCGUCUGCUGUGAAAACUCGGGGCUUAACCCCGGGCCUGCAGUGGGUACGGGCAGACUAGAGUGCGGUAGGGGAGACUGGAAUUCCUGGUGUAGCGGUGAAAUGCGCAGAUAUCAAGUGGAACACCAGUGGCGAAGGCGAGUCUCUGGACACGUAUUGACGCUGAGGUGCGAAAGCGUGGGGAGCAAACAGG
rnacentral:rRNA from 1 species